rnacentral:tRNA from 1 species
GUUUCAGUAGUCUAAAGGUUUAGGACGCUCGCACGGAAUGCAAGAGAUCCGGGUUCGAUUCCUGGCUGAGACA